UACGUAGGGUGCAAGCGUUAAUCGGAAUUACUGGGCGUAAAGCGUGCGCAGGCGGUUAUGCAAGACCGAUGUGAAAUCCCCGGGCUUAACCUGGGAAUUGCAUUCGAGACUGCAUGGCUAGGAUGCGGAAGAGGGAAGCGGAAUUUCCGGUGUAGCGGUGAAAUGCGUAGAUAUUCGGAGGAACACCAGUGGCGAAGGCGGCUCACUGGUCCGGUACUGACGCUGAGGUGCGAAAGCGUGGGGAGCAAACAGG
rnacentral:rRNA from 1 species